CAUGCAAGUCUGUGAAUAUGUUUAUAGAAACAGUGUACGGCUCAGUAUAACAUGUCUAUCUACCCAUUUAUAUAUAAUAACCGUGGUAAACUAUGGCUAAUAUAAUGGAUGAGGAUGUGACCUAUCAGCUUGUCGGUACGGUAAGUGCGUACCGAGGCUAUAACGGGUAACGGGGAAUAUGGGUUUUAUUCCGGAGAGGGAGCCUGAGAGAUGGCUGCCACGUCCAAGGACGGCAGCAGGCGCGAAACUUACCCAAUGAACAUUGAGGUAGUUACGAGGCGUAUAGGGUUGUUUUGUAUUCGGGAUGUGUAAGUAGCAUCCCCAAAGACUGGAGGGCAAGUCUGGUGCCAGCAGCCGCGGUAAUACCAGCUCCAGUAGCGUCUGUGUUUAUUGCUGCGGUUAAAAUGUGCGUAGUCUGGUAAUAUGGCUUGAGUUUAAUAUACAUUUUCAUAGUGUAAAGACUCUCAGGAACUUAUACCUUGAGACAGGGAAGAGGUGAUGUUAUUUGGUAGCGAGAGGUGAAAAUCGAUGACCUACUGAGGAGCGACAGAGGCGAAAGCGAUCACCAAGAACUGUUCUGACGAUCAAGCGCGUGAGCAGGAGUAUCGAAGAGGAUUAGAGACCCACGUAGUUCCUAGCAGUCAACAAUGCCAACACUGUGGUGCUACUUUGCAUUGCGGAAGCGAAAGCUAGUGUAUGGGCUCCGGGGAUAGUACGGACGCAAGUUUGAAACUUGAAGAAAUUGACGGAAGGACACCACAAGGAGUGGAGUGUGCGGGUUAAUUUGACUCAACGCGGGAAAACUUACCCGGGCAGGCAGUUAUCGUGAGAAGUUAUUAAGUGUAACUGAUGAUACUGCGCGUGGUGCAUGGCCGUUCUUAACACGUGGAGUGAUCUGUCUGGUCAAAUCUGAUAACGCGUGAGAGGUGAGUGUUUAUGCAUUAGCAUGAGCAGACGAUGUAUGUAAGUACAAGGAAGUAGCACCCGAUAACAGGUCUGUGAUGCCCGUAGAUGUCCGGGGCUCCACGCGCACUACAAUGGAUGGUAGUAUUAGUAGUGUGUAACCAAUUCGUAGUUGGGAUUGACAUAUGUAAUUAUGUCAUGAACUUGGAAUUCCUAGUAGUUGGUUGUCAUUAACGACUGACGAAUGCGUCCCUGUUCUUUGUACACACCGCCCGUCGUUAUCUAAGAUGGAAGUGCGGGUGAAGAUGUGAGUAUAAACCAUUAGGGUAAUGAUGAAUAUUUGUAUAUGCGUGUGAGUGUUGGACUUGUGUUGUAUAUAUUAGUAUGAAUCUGACUGAUGUUAGGU
rnacentral:rRNA from 12 species